UGCCUAAACUGUCUGAAAUUAUCAGCAGCAUGGCAUAAAAUCCCAAAGCACAUAAAAACCCCGUCAUUCAGGGCCCGUGCUUUGGGUUAUAGAGGGAAACCUCUGUAAGGACUUCGGUCCU
rnacentral:sRNA from 1 species